AGCCUAUUAGCUCAAUUGGUAGAGCCGAGUGCAAGUGCACUAUGAUGUAGGUUCGAAUCCUGCAUAGGCUA
rfam:Spinacia oleracea cultivar SynViroflay scaffold15926.con0004.1, whole genome shotgun sequence.